rnacentral:rRNA from 1 species
AUUGAACGCUGGCGGCAGGCCUAACACAUGCAAGUCGAACGCGUGCCGCGCGGGGGAGUAAUGUCUCUGAAACUUCCUCAUGGCGAGGGGGAACAACUGGAAACACUACCUAAUACCGCAUACCCUCAUGUGUGCGCAGAUGGGAUUAGCUUGUUGGUGGGGUAACGGCUCACCAAGGCGACGAUCCCCAGCUGGGCUGAGAGGAUGACCAGCCACACUGGAACUGAGACACGGUCCAGACUCCUACGGGAGGCAGCAGUGGGGAAUAUUGCACAAUGGGCGAAAGCCUGAUGCAGCCAUGCCGCGUGUAUGAAGAAGGCCUUCGGGUUGUAAAGUACUUUCAGCGAGGAGGCGUUACCCGCAGAAGAAGCACCGGCUAACUCCGUGCCAGCAGCCGCGGUAAUAC